rnacentral:rRNA from 1 species
GACGAACGCUGGCGGCGUGCUUAACACAUGCAAGUCGAACGGAAAGGCCCUGCUUGCUGGGUACUCGAGUGGCGAACGGGCGAGUAACACGUGGGUGAUCUGCCCUGCACUUCGGGAUAAGCCUGGGCAACUGGGUCCAAUACCGGAUAGGAGCCAUUUUUUGCGGGAUGGUUGGAAAGUUUUUUUCGGGGUAGGGUGAGUUGGCGGCCUAUCGGCUUUUUGGUGGGGUAAUGGCCUACCAGGGCGGGGACGGGUUGCCGGACUGUGGGGGUGGACGGCGACAUUGACACUGACGUGAGGCCCAGGCGGCUACUGGAGGCCGAAGUGGGGAAGAUUGCACAAGCGGCGCCAGGCUGAUGCAGAGACGCCGCGGGGGGGAUAACGGCCUUCGGGUUGAAAAAUCCUUUCGCUAGGAACGAAGCUUUUUGUGACGGUACCUAGAUAAGAAGCACCGGCUAACUACGUG